rnacentral:rRNA from 1 species
ACGAACGCUGGCGGCGUGCCUAACACAUGCAAGUCGUGCGGGAGUGGAAGUCAGAGUUGAGGGGUUGAAAAGAGCGGAGAUAAAGACGGAAGGCAUUUGCGAAAGCGAAUGCCAUCGAGUCCGGCUUCCGACCUCUGACCUCUGACUUCUAUUCCAGCGGCGGACGGGUGAGUAAUGCGUGAACAAUCUACCGUCAAGACUGGGAUAACACCGGGAAACUGGUGCUAAUACCGGGUAGUUUCCACCGGCGGCAUCGUUGGUGGAGGAAAGUCGGCCUCUUUACAAUGCUGGCGCUUGAUGAUGAGUUCACGUCCCAUUAGCUUGUUGGGGGGGUAACGCCCA